rnacentral:rRNA from 1 species
GAGUUUGAUCCUGGCUCAGAACGAACGCUGGCGGCAUGCCUAAACAUGCAAGUCGAACGGGUGUAGCAAUACACCAGUGGCAGACGGGUGCGUAACACGUGGGAAUCUGCCCAGAGGUUCGGAAUAGCUGCGGGAAACUGCAGGUAAUACCGAAUGUCGCCUGAGGGCUAAAGGAGCAAUCCGCCUUUGGAGGGGCCCGCGUCCGAUUAGCUAGUUGGCGAGGUAACGGCUCACCAAGGCUACGAUCGGUAGCUGGUCUGAGAGGAUGACCAGCCACACUGGAACUGAGAUACGGUCCAGACUCCUACGGGAGGCAGCAGUUGGGAAUAUUGGACAAUGGGGGAAACCCUGAUCCAGCAAUGCCGCGUGGGUGAUGAAGGCCUUC